rnacentral:rRNA from 1 species
UGGGGAAUUUUGGACAAUGGGGGAAACCCUGAUCCAGCCAUCCCGCGUGUGCGAUGAAGGCCUUCGGGUUGUAAAGCACUUUUGGCAGGAAAGAAACGUCAUGGGUUAAUACCCCGUGAAACUGACGGUACCUGCAGAAUAAGCACCGGCUAACUACGUGCCAGCAGCCGCGGUAAUACGUAGGGUGCAAGCGUUAAUCGGAAUUACUGGGCGUAAAGCGUGCGCAGGCGGUUCGGAAAGAAAGAUGUGAAAUCCCAGAGCUCAACUUUGGAACUGCAUUUUUAACUACCGGGCUGGAGUGUGUCAGAGGGGGGUGGAAUUCCGCGUGUAGCAGUGAAAUGCGUAGAUAUGCGGAGGAACACCGAUGGCGAAGGCAGCCUCCUGGGAUAACACUGACGCUCAUGCACGAAAGCGUGGGGAGCAAACAGG